AGUCUGAAGAAACAAAUAAAAUGGUGAUUAAGCGGGAACUUAAGUCUAAAAAAUAACAAACAAGCAGAGAUCAGUUGAAAUACAGUACGGCUGAUUGAAGAUAAACAUUUGGAAAGGGAGUUCGUGUUAGUGCUUUUCAGUCAUAAGCUGUGAAUUUUAAACAGAUCACACACUUACACGUAUAAAGAGCUUAAAACAUGAAUAAAAGAAGAGACUCUCAGCUCGUGAUCAGAGGAUGUUAUGGCUCUUUUCACGUCUUUGCUUCUCCAAAAGUGGAAGUGGGUUUAAACCAUUCAAAUGUGUGGAUGUCACUAAGUGGGAAUAGUAACAACGAUGUGCACUCAAAUCUGAUAAAUUGACUCUUGAACAAUAAAAAUUUAAAAAUUAUCCCAACCGUUGAAUCGGGGUUAAUGAGCAUGUAGAGAUUCAGUUUUAGGUAAAUAUGCUCUUUGUGUACAUUCUCAGUACAGACAGGAAACUGGACUGGUGUUUAACUUGGCCGAUUAAGGUGCUGCUGGACUACCAGAGCACUCAAAGAACCAGCCAGCCUGUCAUAAAUCCCCGCUCUCCAACAUGCUCUAAAGCCUUGUUGGGUUUUAGUGUAGAAAACUGUUGCUUAACUCUGAAGCUGUUAAAGUGUGAAGGCAAAGUCCACCAUAAGACGCUGGAUCACAGGAGAGAGGACAGAAAGGAGGCCUGUGGACAGCCGUCUCCUCAGGGCCGUUAUGACAAAGCCUGCCCCCGAGAGCACACGCUCAGCUUUGGUCAGUGCAGUUGUGGCCCGUGAUGCAGGGUCCCAUGGGCCUGGCGGUGAAAUCGUAAUAUGGACCAUCUGACACCUGUCAAAACAGCCCUGUUAGCUGAGCGUCAAGCCUUGUCAGCUAGCAGAGGAAAGUGCUAUGCAGGUUCUCAAUUUCUCUCCCCUUUCCUUUAAAUCUCUCCACUCUCCCUCUGUGUCUCCCAGACUUUCACUCCUGAGACCUCCCCUAAUUCAUCCCUCUCAAAAGAUGAUUUAAAAGGAUUUGUGAUUUUAAACUACACUUCUUCUCACACUUUUGUUUUUAUUUUCAUGUAUUUUCUGUUGGUCUUUACAUCUGUUUCUUUUCAUAUCUUCUCCAUCGUUGCAAAUCUAAUCAGCCACCUAAAACCAGGUAAGAAUGUGAACCAAUGAGAAGAAAGUGAUUUCAUUUGAGUUAUUUUUCCCCACAUACCUUGAUACUCGUGGUGUUGCACCAAACCGUGCAAACACCAGAUCUGUUCUGCUUUCCAAUGCACAAAAACAAUCUGCCAAUACUGUCUCUAGAAUGCUGCAACAAAAUCAGACUGGAUUCAGUUCUGAGUAACGGCAUUAGCUUUCAUACGUGAGGAAAUAAAUUAAUCUAAGUUUGACUCUAAAUCGAACCUUGCCUUAGCGUGUCUCUUAUUUCUUCUCUGUUCUGAGUACAAAAGGUUUGCUGCACUGCCAAUCCGCCUGCUUCCUUCAUCUCCCAGCCCACAUGCUUGUUUCCUCUGCAGCUCCUUUGCUGAUGGGCCAACAGAUCCGGAGAUGUAAAAGUGGAGGAGGAGAUGGAAGAGAAUGCUUUGCACAAGAACCGGGAAACAUGUCCUGUCACGGUUUGUGUCAAUGCAGCUCAAUUGAAUUACUUUCAAGCCAAUCUGUCACACAGGAUUGCAACUGCCUUCCAAGUGUAGAGCAUGUUCUGUAAGCCAGAGGAUCUAUUUUGUGAGGUCUGCUCUUCUCAUGCAAUCACUUUUGGGUGAAGAAAAUGAAAAUGUUUUGAAACCAUUACCAAUGGUUUGUGGUGUUUUUUAUGUGGAAAUCCAAAUGACACAUUUUAAGAAUAUAGAAGUAAUCAAACUUGUGUUUUCAAUUAGCAAAAACCGAUAAGCCAUUUUUAAAGUAAACCCACCAAAUUUUAUUUAGACUGGUAUCAGUUCAAGGAAAUAAUGAAGAAAUUAACUUUAUUUAAAAAAAAUCUGAUUUAGCAAAUUAACUAUUCAGUUGUGAAAUUUGGACAUUCCAGCCGUUGGAAUUUUCUUUUUAACCCUUUAACGUCCUCACCAAGAAAAAAGCAAUUAAAGAUUCCACUUUUUGCAUUUUUGAUUUGGCACAAUAAGGGGUUUAGUUUGUGUAUUCUUACAGGUAAAAUAAUGAUUUUCAUUGCAAGGAAAGAAGUGAGGAAAUAAAAAGGGAGAUAAUCCCAUACCAGUAGAUUCCAUUUGAUCAGAGGAAAUGAUCUCGGAAAACAAAAAGUAAAUGAAAGAGAAGGUCUCCCUUUCAUUUUCCAUGUCUUAUGAAAUAACACACCCCUAGAUAAUCACCUGUAUCCUGCCUAAAGCAAGAAUUCGGUCUAGUUCACUAGGCUAGGUGACCCGCACACACAUUCAGAGUUGAAACUUAGUUGUGUUCCCAGACAAAAACUCAGCCACCUCAAAUUUUCCCAACAAGAACAGAAGCAGACUCUAAAUUGAAUGAGUAAAACAACCCCUUAAAUGAGAUUUGUAGAUAGAACGAGACAUUCCGUUCAUGACACUACGUAGCUAGGUUUUCUUCCUGAGAGACACAUUUAUGCAGAGGGUGUUACACACAAUGGGGUGAGAGGGAUUCAGAGGAGUAGUUUGAUAGAUGAGUUAUGAUUUAAUCCUUUAAAAGGGCGGCCAGAAUUUGACUGGUUGAGGAUUUUCCAGGUUUGUACAUUUCAGAUGUGAUUAAAACUUUUAAUAAAAAAAAAAACAUUUCAUUUAUUAGUUGCCAUCAGUAUAUGAAGAGCAUUUCAAGCAUUCUGAAAAAAAACAAACUCAGAUGGUACCUUUAAAACUGCACUCAUGGAGGCGUAGAAAAAAUAAUAAUAGUAAAACACAAGCACACAGACACCCCACCCCCCACGUAGCAUCCAGCAACGAGAGUUAAUCUAAACCAUAUUAUUCUGGACAUGUGAAAAUAAUAUUGACAAGAUCUCCUUUGACCCAGCUGACUUUGAGCAAAAAUCUGCACCUUAUUGGAUUUCUCUGAGGCAUUGAUUAUGACCCGCGAAGCAUGUGGUGGAGGUUUUCUGUUUAUGAUUCAAGCACUGCCCAAAGCAAAAGCUGGUAAUGCUGAUGGGUUUACGUAGCCGUGCCUUUUCUGUUUUCGUUGGCUCUGUAAUCAGUCAUUGCAACACUGCUGCGCUUUUGAGCGAGGGAUGGUUUGUGCGCCUGACAUGUGCAGUCAAUUAUUUGAUAAAAAGAUCUAGUAAUGUGUUUGUUACAGGAAGAACACUUGUGCUCAGUGUGGGAGAUUUUGCAACAACUCUGCAGUGCAUUGCUCCAUUCUUCCAUGUUUUCUUUCUGAUAAAAAAAAAGUCAUCCAAGGGUAGCAAAUUCCCCUCAUUAAAUGAAUCAGAAUGAGUUUAGCCUGUUUACAAGUACAAAGGGAAAGUGGGAAACACUUUGAAUUGAAUUAAUUGUCUGCACCACCCUCAUGAACUGGCAGGACUUUGGAUGGAAGUGGGAUGAGAGUUCUGGCAACUGCUGCUGACAAAAUUUAUAGAGGAGAUAAACAUAAAUGACUUCCUGCUCAAGUGUGAGGGAAUUAUAAGAAUGAGCCCCAAUCAAAGUUAAUGAUGUUGUAUUAGAGGGCUUUUAUUGAGAGAGAGGGAGACAACAGCGAUGACUUCUUGCAUCCAGAGAAGAGAUGGUAAACAAGUGCUGGUAGUUGGUAAAAUUUAUUGGCUUGCAGGAAAAUGAUGAUCAGCGUGGGCGUGACUUUGGCGUUGUUCUUCAUGCACCACGAAGGGGACAAACGUUAUUUUUCACCGGGCUGCAACAAAGGUAAUUAUCUUGAGAGCCUCAUUCAUAUUCAGCCUAAACCAUUGCAUCUCAUAAUAAAAUGAAGGGACCAUCUCAGAAGAUUGAUCUACAUUUUAAAUGUACUAUGCAGAUGUAGAAGGGUUGAUAAAAGUGUUUUAUUUUUUGCAAUUUUACUAUUUGACCACAAAUGACAUUGGUUUAGAAUAUUUUUUUGCUUGUUCUUGUAAGUUAUGCAACCGCAAGUGUUCCCUAUGUGGAAAUAUAAUGUGUGUGGAUAUAAAAACUAACUAAAGGUUAAUUGUGACAUCCGUUUUGGUAAUUAUGGUGAAGAAAAUUGGUGGAGCGAGUUAUGUGGAAACAGUUUGGACUGAAAUAUUGUGCUUAAUGUUUGGUAUGGCUGGGAAGACAAGCAGUUCCAUUUUAGAGAGACUAAGUUAGAAGCGGGGUGCUUUCAUCCAUCUCUAUUUGUCCCUGAGUCUUAUUUAAAGUCCCCAAACAUGCUCUGUUCCUGUUCUUUAACCCUCCCACUGCCUUUAUGGGUGACCCUGCGAGGAAAGUUGACCAUUGAACAGUAUUGAUGGUUUAUCCCUUGAGGUCCACGUGGCAGGGGUGAGGUGGUGCUCACUCCUCACCCCUGCCACAUGGACCCAAGGGAUAAACCAUCAAACCUGCUCAAUGGUCAACUUUCCUCGCGGGGUCCUAUCCAUUAGGACAGUGGGUGGGUUAAAGACCAGGUUUACUGAGAAACAUUUUUUUUACUUAACAUUUUUGAAAAUGAUCAGUCACUCUGAGUUUAACAUGCAGGCUGAACGUGAAAAUAGAUCUCCUACCCCUUUUUUCUGCAUUAUCUUUAAUAGAAAAUUAAUGGAAAAGCGCUCAGUUCAGAAAAGCCUGACAGAUCUAGGUCACACCAAUCUGGACUCACGAUGGAGAAGGAUGUUGUUGGUUUAGCAUCCAGAAAACAACAGAGAAUGUCUUGACUAGUAAAGCUAACCAUUAGCAUUAUCAACUCCACCACACAGACCUCCUUCAGGUUUGUGUCAUUUGUGGCAACCAAACAUCAACAUUGCAAAGCCACCGGAAUCAGUGGAUAACAUGUUGCUGUUAUCCAAUUAGAGGCAAGAUGUCCUACUUAAGAUAUUAGUUAUUAGGAAAAAAAACCUAAUCCUGCCACCUGAAGUUGCUUUCUCCUUCAGCUGACUGCAUCCUCAAACAGGUGCACCAGAGCUUUUCCCCAGACAGUUACAAGGCACUCAUUCCCACUAGAAACCACUGCAAAUGUAUUACAAAUACGAAUAAAACUGAAUUUUAAAACAAGUUCCCCAAAGAUGAUUCUACAAUUCUCUGCAAUAGGCAGAUAAUAGAACAGAUUAAAAUCCUUAACAAUUUAAUAUCAUAGUAAUGUCCACCCCUACUCACAUGUACUCGCAUAUAUGUGACUAAUUAUAUGGAUAAUAUGUAGGAAAUUUAUGCAUUUUUAUUUAGAGAGUUUGAUUGCAAAUCUGACUUUUUCAGAUGAACUAUGAUGAAAUGGUCAAACUGUGCUGUUAUGCUUUGAAAGCUAACCAGCUGAGUGUGUUGAUUUCACUUUCUUUUGUUUGCACAUCUCUGGAGCAACUGGGGUGGCCCAGUGGAUUGGUUACCCUCUUCUGUGCUAAUCAGGGGCCUGAUGGGGGCAAGCAGGAGGUCUGAGGAUGGGGAAGAGUCGUACAGUUGAUUUUGGAUGGAGCUGUACAUUUCUGAGAGACAAUGGAGUUUACUCAUUGGAUUGUGCAUGGGACUGCAUCAUCGGAGAGGGGAGAGCGGGCAGCAGAGGGCGACAACGUCCUCUGCUGCCCGCGGAUAAACAGUCGGAGUAGGAAGUGACGCCACCAUCAGUGUCAGCUCUGAAGAUGUUUGCAGCCGCAAACGAAACCGUCAGCAAGGCGGUCUGUGAGAGGACGUGAAUUCUGCUCAGAUCUGGGGAUAGCUCUUUGUUUGUGCUGAUUCAUAAUUGUGCACAAGAGAUCCUGAGAACAGCAAUAAAUAACUUGUGUGAAAAAAAUGGCUCCUGAGUUUGUCCAAAUGCAAAUGGAGACACUGACAGGGUCAAGAAAAAAAAAAAAAAUAGGGAACUCAAAACUAAUAACAGCCAAUAACAAGGGGUGGAAAUCAGGACAACAGAAGGACGAUCUGACCAGGAGAUUGAAUUCCAGUGUAACAUCCAGACAGGGUCAGUUUUGACCUAUACAUUGACCACAUAGCGACCGGUCACCUACAGACAUAAUUCCACUAUCUGAGUGGAGCUGCUACUCCAUCUUCUAACUCCCAGAAGAUUCUGCUGUGCUUGUUGACAGUCCAUGAGGACAAGAUUGUCAAACUUAUCUCAGAAUGCAGGAUUCCACACUCAGAAUGAAAAAUGAACUUUUACAUCUCAUAAGUUAAAUAAUCAUAAAUAAUCAUAUGGUUGAAUGAACCAGAUGUUAAAUGAAUAAAUGAUGAUAAUGUUUGAAUAAUCUGUGCCUAAUUCAGUGAAGUUGAAAUGAAUAUUAUUGCUUACAAUGAAACAUUUAUAUGUUAUGAUCAGUAAUGUAUAAUAUAACAAGUUAAUCAUUGUAUACACUCAUACACAAUGUUCCUAUGAUGAAAAUUACAGUUAAGGUCACAUAUCACAUAGGUUUAAAGAUUCUUUAUCCACAGAACAAGAACAUCUUGUAUCUGGAAGGUGUGGUUUCUGAGGGAUGUUUGGUAACGCCGAUAAACAUUUGCAGAAAUGAUAAACUCUAGAUCAUUAGAACUAGAGUGACUGCCGAGUUACUCAGUUUCCAGCUGACACUCCGAAGUGGCCAAUUCGGAACCAGCCUCUUUUGAAAAAUCUCUUUGACACACAGCCAAACCUGUUUGCACGCAGUAAGCCGCACGACUCCUUAAGAGUCCAUCCGUCUUAGGCGAAACAACCUUCAUGCCUGUUGUGAUUUGGGAGACGACUCUGGACUGACCUGGUCACAUUGGGGUUAAUCUACGAACUUCAAUGCCUUUGGGUUACCAGACCCUCCUGACAUCUCUGAUCCAAAAGAGAGUCUCCAUCAGGGUACGUAGACACAACAACAUUGCGUCUGAUGCUGUUCCAUAAAUCAUCAACUCUCUAGUUUAUAGCAGACAACAAAUUCUUUUACACCCAGAACUCACGGUUUCUUCCAGAUACAAAGGUUCUGAUAUACAUCUACUUUACACCAUCUUCACACAUCAC